ACAGGCGUUGUAAUAUUAAUAGCUUGUGUGGUGGGUGUUGCUGUUGAGGUUGUCUCAUCCUCAUUUCUUCUCCAAUCUGAAGUUGAGUUAUCAGUGGUGUCUGAACUUGUGGUAGAUAUUGAGGUUGUGAUAGCAGGUGUUGUUUCUGAGCUGGUGACAGCAGGUGUUGUUUCUGAGCUGGUGACAGCAGGUGUUGUUUCUGAGCUGGUGACAGCAGGCGUUGUUUCUGAGCUGGUGACAGGCGUUGUUUCUGAGCUGGUAGCUGGUGUUGUUUCUGAGCUGGUAGCUGGUGUUGUUUCUGAGCUGGUGACAGCAGGCGUUGUCUCUGAG